GUAUUUGAUCCUGGCUCAAACGUACGCUGGCGGCACGCCUAACACAUGCAAGUCGAACGAAGUAGCAAUACUUAGUGGCAGACGGGUGAGUAACAUGUAGGUAUCUACCCUUUGGCCUGGAAUAACACGAGGAAACUUGUGCUAAUACUGGAUAAGUCUUUACGGAGAAAGCUUUAUGCACCAUUGGAUGAGCCUGCACUUGAUUAGUUUGUUGGUGGGGUAAUGGCCUACCAAGACUUUGAUCAAUAGCUGAUUUGAGAGGAUGAUCAGCCACAUUGGGACUGAGACACGGCCCAAACUCCUACGGGAGGCAGCAGUGGGGAAUCUUGCACAAUGGAGGAACACUCUGAUGCAGCGAUGCCGCGUGAGUGAGGAAGGCCCUUGGGUUGUACAGCUCUUUCGUCGGGGAAGAAAAUGACUGUACCCGAAUAAGAAGGUCCGGCUAACUUCGUGCCAGCAGCCGCGGUAAUACGAAGGGACCUACCGUAGUUCGGAAUUA
rnacentral:rRNA from 1 species